rnacentral:lncRNA from 1 species
UGAGGUGGAGGAGGUACGACAUAUGCUAGCUCAUUUUAAAUAGAUCGUACAGGUCCUGUAACUCAUUGUUCUUUAGAGACUCUCUCUUUGAAUUUAUCCUCUCACUGUUUUUAAGAAAACAGCAUGUUUGCUUAUAAUCAUAUUGUGAACCACUGGGAAGAGAAAGUGACAUCCCAAAUCUUUUUGGGAUACCCCAUAAACAGACACUCAC